GCCCAUAUACGCUUUCGCGCCCCUUCUCCAUGAGAAUAACACUAAGCAUCUUCUUGAACACCAAAACUGCGCACGCCCCGCCAUUUUCGUAUAAGCUUAAGCCCUAUCUUGUUCCGUUUGUUUGGUGACCAGCGCUAGCCGUUUCCCCCCGAAGAAGCAUCAUCGUCUUCUGGAAAAGCUUCAGCGCCAUUGUUGAAACUGUGCACGCAAGGAACCCUAAAUCGUUUAAGGUUUGGAUGUGAAGCCAUUGGUGCCAUAUUGUCCUGCACUGUAGAUGUGAAGCCAUUGGUGCCAUAUUGUCAGCAACGAACUCAAUUUGUACAUUGCAGGUUCUGAAUCGAUACUAUUACAGCCUUGAAAUUGUUGGGGACUUUCCUUUACCUCUUCUGCACUAGUACUGGCCUUGGCAUACUAGCAUUCUACUGAUCGUGAAGUUGCACUUAUGAUGUUGAUGGCAUAUUUGUCAUAUAUCAUUGCUGAGGCCAGAAUUUGAACUACCAAGAAAUUAACCAACUGAAGCAAGCCGCUGGAAGUAGGAAGAUUAAAAAAGCAUAAACAUGGUGCAGAGAGACAAUAAAGAAAAGAAAUAGAACUAUUUGGGCACCCUUGGACAAAAGCAUGCCUAUUACAUGAGGAGGGAAUAGUGAGUGUUGGCGUGGAAGGAAAAGGACAAAUUAGAAGGAGGGCAAUAAGGUAAUUUGAUGUGCAGACAUGAAAAUUUGGAAGGAAAACAGUAAGAGGCAAUAAUGAAAUAA